CCUACGGGUGGCAGCAGUGAGGAAUAUUGGUCAAUGGCCGAGAGGCUGAACCAGCCAAGUCGCGUGAGGGAAGACGGCCCUACGGGUUGUACACCUCUUUUGUCGGGGAGCAAAGAGAGUCACGUGUGACUCAUUGAGAGUACCCGAAGAAAAAGCAUCGGCUAACUCCGUGCCAGCAGCCGCGGUAAUACGGAGGAUGCUAGCGUUAUCCGGAUUUAUUGGGUUUAAAAGGUGCGCAGGCGGAGGAGAAAGUUAGCGGUAAACUUGCGGGGCUCAACCCCGUACUGCCGUUGAAACUGCAUAGCUUGAGUGCGCGAGAGGUAUGCGGAAUGUGUGGUGUAGCGGUGAAAUGCAUAGAUAUCACGCAGAACUCCGAUUGCGAAGGCAGCAUACCGGCGCGCAACUGACGCUCAUGCACGAAAGCGUGGGUAGCGAACAGGAUUAGAUACCCGUGUAGUC
rnacentral:rRNA from 1 species